rnacentral:rRNA from 1 species
GGGCCCGCACAAGCGGUGGAGCAUGUGGUUUAAUUCGAUGCAACGCGAAGAACCUUACCAGGGCUUGACAUACUGCGAAUCUUCUUGAAAGAGAAGAGUGCCUUCGGGAAUGCAGAUACAGGUGGUGCAUGGCUGUCGUCAGCUCGUGUCGUGAGAUGUUGGUUAAGUCCCGCAACGAGCGCAACCCUUAUUUUUAGUUACCAACUUGUUGGGUUCUCUAGAAAGACUGCCGGUGACAAACCGGAGGAAGGUGAGGAUGACGUCAAGUCAGCAUGCCCCUUAUGUCCUGGCUACACACGUGCUACAAUGGUUGGGACAAAGAGUCGCGAGUUUGCAAGAAC